rnacentral:rRNA from 1 species
UUCCGGUUGAUCCUGCCGCCGGACCUGACUGCUAUCGGAUUGAUACUAAGCCAUGCGAGUCAUUGUAGCAAUACAAGGCAGACGGCUCAGUAACGCGUAGUCAACCUAACCUAUGGACGGGAAUAAUCUCGGGAAACUGAGAAUAAUGCCCGAUAGAACAUUAUGCCUGGAAUGGUUUAUGUUCCAAAUGAUUUAUCGCCGUAGGAUGGGACUGCGGCCUAUCAGUUUGUUGGUGAGGUAAUGGCCCACCAAGACUAUUACAGGUACGGGCUCUGAGAGGAGUAGCCCGGAGAUGGGUACUGAGACACGGACCCAGGCCCUAUGGGGCGCAGCAGGCGAGAAAACUUUGCAAUGUGCGAAAGCACGACAAGGUUAAUCCGAGUGGUUUCUGCUAAAGGAACCUUUUGUCAGUCCUAGAAACACCGACGAAUAAGGGGUGGGCAAGUUCUGGUGUCAGCCGCCGCGGUAAAACCAGCACCUCAAGUGGUCAGGAUGAUUAUUGGGCCUAAAGCAUCCGUAGCCGGCGCUAUAAGUUUUCGGUUAAAUCUGUACGCUCAACGUACAGGCUGCCGGGAAUACUGCAGCGCUAGGGAGUGGGAGAGGUAGACGGUACUCGGUAGGAAGGGGUAAAAUCCUCUGAUCUAUUGAUGACCACCUGUGGCGAAGGCGGUCUACCAGAACACGUCCGACGGUGAGGGAUGAAAGCUGGGGGAGCAAACCGGAUUAGAUACCCGGGUAGUCCCAGCUGUAAACUAUGCAAACUCAGUGAUGCAUUGGCUUUAAGGCCAGUGCAGUAUUGCAGGGAAGCCGUUAAGUUUGCCGCCUGGGAAGUACGUACGCAAGUAUGAAACUUAAAGGAAUUGGCGGGGGAGCACCACAAGGGUGAAGCCUGCGGUUCAAUUGGAUUCAACGCCGGA